GGGCGUUAAGUUGCAGGGUAUAGACCCGAAACCCGGUGAUCUAGCCAUGGGCAGGUUGAAGGUUGGGUAACACUAACUGGAGGACCGAACCGACUAAUGUUGAAAAAUUAGCGGAUGACCUGUGGCUGGGGGUGAAAGGCCAAUCAAACCGGGAGAUAGCUGGUUCUCCCCGAAAGCUAUUUAGGUAGCGCCUCGUGAAUUCAUCUCCGGGGGUAGAGCACUGUUUCGGCUAGGGGGCCAUCCCGGCUUACCAACCCGAUGCAAACUGCGAAUACCGGAGAAUGUUAUCACGGGAGACACACGGCGGGUGCUAACGUCCGUCGUGAAGAGGGAAACAACCCAGACCGCCAGCUAAGGUCCCAAAGUCAUGGUUAAGUGGGAAACGAUGUGGGAAGGCCCAGACAGCCAGGAUGUUGGCUUAGAAGCAGCCAUCAUUUAAAGAAAGCGUAAUAGCUCACUGGUCGAGUCGGCCUGCGCGGAAGAUGUAACGGGGCUAAACCAUGCACCGAAGCUGCGGCAGCGACGCUAUGCGUUGUUGGGUAGGGGAGCGUUCUGUAAGCCUGCGAAGGUGGCCUGUGAGGGUUGCUGGAGGUAUCAGAAGUGCGAAUGCUGACAUAAGUAACGAUAAAGCGGGUGAAAAGCCCGCUCGCCGGAAGACCAAGGGUUCCUGUCCAACGUUAAUCGGGGCAGGGUGAGUCGACCCCUAAGGC
rnacentral:rRNA from 1 species